rnacentral:rRNA from 1 species
UGAGGAAUUUUAGGCAAUGGGGGCAACCCUGACCCAGCGACGCCGCGUGCAGGAUGACGGCCCUUCGGGUUGUAAACUGCUUUCGGGUGAGAAGAAAAGCCGACUCGGUCGGCUGGGACUGUACCACAAGAAGAAGCACCGGCUAACUACGUGCCAGCAGCCGCGGUAAUACGUAGGGUGCAAGCGUUAUCCGGAAUCACUGGGUGUAAAGGGUGUGUAGGCGGGUUUGUGCGUCAGAGGUUAAAUACCCGGGCUUAACUCGGGAAAUGCCUUUGAUAGGCAAGCCUUGAGUAUGAGAGAGGAAGAUGGAAUUCCUGGUGUAGAAGUGAAAUUCGUAGAUAUCAGGAGGAACACCGGUGGCGAAGGCGGUCUUCUGGCUCAUUACUGACGCUGAGGCACGAAAGCGUGGGGAUCAAACA